rnacentral:lncRNA from 10 species
UUAGCUCACAAUUAUACAGCAAAGUCUCCUGGGAGGGUUUAUAUGUUAAGCUCUGUCAGUAAUUUCUCCCCUAGCAAGAAUGAGGAAGAUGAAGAGCUCGGGUAUCUGAGGGCUGGUGUGUCUGCAUGCGUGUGUGUUUUGGGGGCCGACUGAAGGAAGAGAAGGCUGGAGAGAGGGAACAUGGGUCUGAGGGCACAUCGCUAAGGGGUCAAGAGGCCUAAAGGAGGAGUCUAAGGCUCUCCAUCGAACUUGGACUUGGUCUACAUUAGACUUUAACCUCCAUGAGGCUUGGACUUUCAGGCUUCCUCCCUCACACCGCGGGCAGGUGAGGCGUCUGCUACAGGCCUGGUCUCGCAGAGGGGGCCCAGCGCCCCCCGCCGCCGCCUUCUCCUGGAGUCUGUGUGACAGAAUGGGACCUGUGGGAAAGCAGCACGUCAGCACCCAGCCCCGCUUGCGCGCCAGCAGCUAAUUAAAGCCAGGAAGGUGAUGGCGAUUUUCAACUCAUUCCCGUUACAAACAGCCGACCUUCCUACCGAGUUCAAGUACCUUCUGCCUGGCCUGGAAGAACAAUAUCUCUCUGUCUCCCUCUUCCACUGGCCCUCACCUGCCUUCCCCUGAACAUGCAUUUUGCCUGACAGGAGACAGAGGCAGUUGAGAUGGAGUCUUGCUAUAUGGCCCAGCUGGUAAUGCCUAGAUUCUUGAGUCCCUCCCUGGCUCAUCCCUGGGAGCAGCACUGAACCCCUUGUCUGACACCUGUCUGGAAAUGGAGCCUGCACAUUGACCCUAGCCAUGUGUGGUCUUGUUACUAAGUGUUAGCCAGUGAGAGAACAUACAAGAGGAGGCCCAUGUUGAUUCAGAGGAUGAAUGAGAGAUGCUUGCAGCUUGGUCCAGGAGGCCAGCAGGACCAGAGAGAAGACCACAGCGACACAUGGGGAUGGCUGUCCCACAGGCAGAAAUGAGCAGCCGGGAGGAAGCCCAGGCAGCCAGCCACCCAGCUCCCUCCACAUCGUGGCCCUAGAACGGAGUCUUGAAGAAUAAGAAGCCACAGCUUGUCAGGGAAUCAGGCUGGAAAAAUGUUAUGAGACUGAGUAAGACCAGAGAUUCCUCAGCAGUGCCUGGAGAAGACCAGGAGAGGAAGCAGAAGACCCUCCUCAAAGAAGCAGCCUUCACCUCCAGACCUCCCAGCGGGACUUAGACAAUGGGGUUAGGCAGUCACAUGUCUGCACGUGGAAACUUUCUGGGACUGUGCUUGGAUCCUGGCUCUGCCUUUUACUAGCCAUGUGACCUUGGGAAAAUCACUUGACUUCUCCGUGCAGGAUUCCUCAUCUGUAAAAAUGGUCUAAGAUUAGGAGCCACCUCAAGGUUGUUGUAGGAAUUAAAUUAAUUCAUGUUUAUAAAGUGCUUUGAACAGCGUUUGGCACAUGGUAAGUGCUAUGUGGUAAGUGCUGUCUAUUGAUUACAUAAAUAAAAGUGAUCACCAUUAGACUUUCCAUGCAGAUGAUAUUAUGCAUAUACAUAUCUCCCGCAUAUGACGUCAUUGGAUCGUUUUGCAAUGGUGGGGGGUUUAUUCUUUUCCUUUUUGUUUUCUUCUUUUUUUUGUCAGAUGAAGAAACUGAUGGGAAGUGAAUUGGUUUGUAUUAAACAUUAGGUUUGCUAGGUCUCUCACAUAUUUAUUUAGUCCUCAUAACAAUUGUAUAAAAUAAAUAUUAUUUAUUCAUUUAUUUAUUUGUAAAGAUGGGUCUCGCUAUGUUGCCCAGGCUGGUCUUGAACUCCCGGGCUCAAGUGAUCCUCCUGCCUUGGACUUCCAAAAUAUUGGGAUUAAAGGUAUGCGCUACUGCACCCGGCCUAAAAGAAAUACUAUUAUCCCCAUUUUACAGAUUUGUAAACAGAAGCUGACACUUCAGAGUUCCAUCCUAAUGAAAGUAGGAUGUGACAGGGGAGCAAAUCUGCUUUGCCCCUGCCCAAGGGCUGGCAGCUCCUCCUCCUGGGGUGCAUGGUGAGUGGGUACACCACUCAUCUGUAUGUACCCGGCAGAAGCUGUCAAUUCAGUUCACGUCACUCAAGUUGAAUGGAUGUAAAACACACACAGAAGCACCAAGUAAUUGCAUUGUUUUCAAAUUACUCACCUCUAGGAGAAUUAAAUGAGCAAACGGAAGAGCAGCAACCCUGAGUUACAUUUCUCAAGACACCGGGGCUCUUGAUGGCACAGCAGCAGCUUGCUAGAGCUUGGUAAAGAGACUUGGGCCUGGUACCUGAAGGGCAAUUCCUUGGCCAUGACAUUGUAGGGAAAGACCUCUAUGGGUGUUGAAAAGACAAGGCGAGGACAAGAAGAGUUGAAAAGGAGCUGUUCUGAAGCCACCUGGCUGUGGAUGGAGGAAGCCACAUGUAGCUUAGGUAGCCUGCUAUUGUAAUUUUUUCUGCAACUGAAGAAUUCGAAAUGGGUUUGGUGGGUAGCGAAGGGCAGAAUCUGGCUUCAAGGUGACAGAGUUUGCAUAGAGAUGGCCUUCUUGAGCAAAGGUAGUGACUCCUACAUUUUUUUUUUUUGUAGAGUUGUGAUACCCAUGAGUUAGUCAGCUUGGGCUAUCAUAACAAAAUACCACACAUUGGUUGGCUUAAACAACAGAAAUUCAUUUUCCUGUAAUUCUGGAGGCUGGAAGUCCAAGAUCAAGGUGACGACAGAGUUGGGUUUCCUCUGAAGCCUCUCUCCUUGGUUUUCAGAUGGGUGUCCUCUUGCUGUCUCUUCAUGUGACUGUCCCUCUGCAUGUGUGCCCCUGGGGACUCUUUCUUAUCUUAUAGUGACACUAGUUCUAUUGGAUUGAAGUGUACCCAUACGACCUCAUUUAAACUUAAUUACAUAUUGUAAGGCCCUAACUUCAAAUACAGUCACAUCCUGAGGUACUGUGUAUUAGGGCUUCAACAUAUAAAUUUUGGGGCAAUCCAGUUCAGCCCAUAAAAUCCCUUUUUGGUUGCUUGAUUCUGUUUAUUUGGUGUCAUGCCUUCCUUUUCCUAAAGAACUUCAUGAAUAGAAUUACUUUCUAAGUGAAAGGAACAAAACUGAUUUUUAUUAAAAAUUAUUUUGAGAUGCUUGUGACAAAUUUUGAAGUAAGUGAAGAUUUUCCUGGAGCUUCUACAAAAUCCUGGCUGAGAAUCCCUGCUUUCUGGACAGUUGAGAAGGAAAUACACUUAGUACAGCUGUUAGAGAGAUAUAGUUGCAACCACUGAGUGCUUAUUAUCUGCCAACUUAAAUAUAUUGCCCAAGGGAAUAACAAAUAUUCUAGUGUUCUUGUUAAGUAUAUUGUCUAAGGUCACACAGCUCUUAAACAACAGCUUCAGGAUUUGAACCUGGAAUCUAUCUGACUCCUAAGUCCAGAUGCUGUUCACCACAUUAGGUUGAAGCAUGGCCAGUGUUCAUAACAUACAACUAUGUCUCCAUAUCUUUUGCUAACCAAUGUUCUUGUAUGUGCAUACCUUACAGGGCAGCCAUUCACCACAAGCCCUACUAGAUGGCUUCCUGUAAUAAGGGUAGAACAGUAGUACUCUCCUUUUGAGAAGUUAUUUGUAAUUUUGUUGGUGGGCUGACAUUUAGGCCCUGCUCUCCAGCCCCAGAGGGGAUCCCAUAACCUAGAUCAGGCCAAUGAUGAUUAUCUCCGUGACUGUAGUGGCUGGUCCAGCGGGGAGGGUCAGGCAGGUAAGCUGGCCCAACCUGAGUCCUUCUUGAGGAUUUUAGAAACUGAAGGUAGGAGAGAAAAAUUCUCUCUUUUCUUCUGGGGAACGGGAUGAAGGUGGUGGGUAGGCAGAGCUGUUGGGAUGUGGAUCCAGGGAUUCUGGAAGUCCUGUCCUCCACCAUGUAAAGAAUACAUCCUGCAGAAGGAGAGAAGGGAGCCAGCACACAGAGAAGCAGAGUCAGGAGAUGGAGAAGGAGAAUCCUGAGAGCCUGAAGGUCCCUGGGUCCAGCCAUUGUCAAGGCCGAGUUCUACCGUCCUUAAGUUGUUUACCUUUCUUUCUUGCUUGCUUCUGUUAGAAGAUGAACACUCAAUGAAAAAUCACCAAACAUCUGAGGAAAGCCAUCAAAAUGAAAUAAACGAAACACACAAGUUCCUAAACACAAGUGAACAGCGUGGGCUGGGUUUUUGUCGCUUGGAACUGGAAACGCUGACGAUAAUGCUGACCUCUGAGCAGACCCACGUGAGGGGCAGCUGUGGUGUGGUGUGAUGAUGCUGGGAUAGGCACUCAGAUGGUUGAGUCUGAGUUUGGCUCUGAUAUUAUAUCAACUGCAUGGGCAGCUGUGGUGUGGUGUGAUGAUGCUGGGAUAGGCACUCAGAUGGUUGAGUCUGAGUUUGGCUCUGAUAUUAUAUCAACUGCAUGGGCAGCUGUGGUGUGGUGUGAUGAUGCUGGGAUAGGCACUCAGAUGGUUGAGUCUGAGUUUGGCUCUGAUAUUAUAUCAACUGCAUGGGCAGCUGUGGUGUGGUGUGAUGAUGCUGGGAUAGGCACUCAGAUGGUUGAGUCUGAGUUUGGCUCUGAUAUUAUAUCAACCGCAUCAUUUUGGGGAAGACACAAUUUCUCAGAAUUUUAUUUAGUUGUAAAAUAAAGAUAAUGAUAUUACAUGCUCUGUCUACCAUCUAGAGUUUUUGUCAAGACAAAC